rnacentral:rRNA from 1 species
GACGUAGGGGGCGAGCGUUAUUCGGAAUCAUUGGGCGUAAAGCGCUCGUAGGCGGGAAAGCAAGUCCGUGUUGAAAGACCCCGGCUCAACUGGGGGACCGGCUCGGAUACUGUUUUUCUUGAGGCAAUCAGAGGGUGAUGGAAUUCCCGGUGUAGCGGUGAAAUGCGUAGAUAUCGUAAGGAAGACCAGUGGCGAAGGCGGGUCUCUGGACAGUUCCUGACGCUGAGGCACGAAGGCCAGGGGAGCAAACGGG